rnacentral:rRNA from 1 species
UACAGAGGGGGCAAGCGUUGUUCGGAAUUACUGGGCGUAAAGGGCGCGUAGGCGGCCUUCUAAGUCGAACGUGAAAUCCCCGGGCUCAACCCGGGAACUGCGUCCGAUACUGGCAGGCUUGAAUUCGGGAGAGGGAUGCGGAAUUCCAGGUGUAGCGGUGAAAUGCGUAGAUAUCUGGAGGAACACCGGUGGCGAAGGCGGCAUCCUGGACCGAGAUUGACGCUGAGGCGCGAAAGCCAGGGGAGCAAACGGG